rnacentral:rRNA from 1 species
AAAUGAAUAGACGGGGGCCCGCACAAGCGGAGGAGCAUGUGGCUUAAUUCGAUGCAACGCGAAGAACCUUACCAGGGCUUGACAUGUAACUGCAAGUCCCAUGAAAGUGGGAUGCCUUCGAGGGUGUUACACAGGUGCUGCAUGGCUGUCGUCAGUUCGUGCCGUGAGGUGUUGGGUUAAGUCCCGCAACGAACGCAACCCCUGUGUCUAGUUGCCACUCCGGGUGUAAAUCCGGAAGCACUUUAGACAGACUGCCCGUACAAGCGGGAGGAAGGUGGGGAUGACGUCAAGUCAGCAUGGCCCUUACGUCCUGGGCUGCACACGUGCUACAAUGACCGGUACAGAAGGAUGCGAGACCGCGAGGUGGAGCAAAUCCUCAAAACCGGCCUCAGUUCAGAUUGAAGGCUGCAAUUCGCCUUCAUGAAGUUGGAUUCGCUAGUAACGGCGUAUCAGCUACGGCGCCGUGAAUACGUUCCCGGGCCUUGUACACACCGCCCGU